rnacentral:rRNA from 1 species
UAACGAAGUGGUUGAUGCCAUGCUUCCAAGAAAAGCUUCUAAGCUUCAGGUAACCAGGAACCGUACCCCAAACCGACACAGGUGGUUGGGUAGAGAAUACCAAGGCGCUUGAGAGAACUCGGGUGAAGGAACUAGGCAAAAUGGCACCGUAACUUCGGGAGAAGGUGCGCCGGUGAGGGUGAAGGACUUGCUCCGUAAGCCCAUGCCGGUCGAAGAUACCAGGCCGCUGCGACUGUUUAUUAAAAACACAGCACUCUGCAAACACGAAAGUGGACGUAUAGGGUGUGACGCCUGCCCGGUGCCGGAAGGUUAAUUGAUGGGGUUAGCUAACGCGAAGCUCUUGAUCGAAGCCCCGGUAAACGGCGGCCGUAACUAUAACGGUCCUAAGGUAGCGAAAUUCCUUGUCGGGUAAGUUCCGACCUGCACGAAUGGCGUAACGAUGGCGGCGCUGUCUCCACCCGAGACUCAGUGAAAUUGAAAUCGCUGUGAAGAUGCAGUGUAUCCGCGGCUAGACGGAAAGACCCCGUGAACCUUUACUAUAGCUUUGCACUGGACUUUGAAUUUGCUUGUGUAGGAUAGGUGGGAGGCUUUGAAGCGUGGACGCCAGUCUGCGUGGAGCCAACCUUGAAAUACCACCCUGGCAACUUUGAGGUUCUAACUCAGGUCCGUUAUCCGGAUCGAGGACAGUGUAUGGUGGGUAGUUUGACUGGGGCGGUCUCCUCCUAAAGAGUAACGGAGGAGUACGAAGGUGCGCUCAGACCGGUCGGAAAUCGGUCGUAGAGUAUAAAGGCAAAAGCGCGCUUGACUGCGAGACAGACACGUCGAGCAGGUACGAAAGUAGGUCUUAGUGAUCCGGUGGUUCUGUAUGGAAGGGCCAUCGCUCAACGGAUAAAAGGUACUCCGGGGAUAACAGGCUGAUACCGCCCAAGAGUUCAUAUCGACGGCGGUGUUUGGCACCUCGAUGUCGGCUCAUCACAUCCUGGGGCUGAAGCCGGUCCCAAGGGUAUGGCUGUUCGCCAUUUAAAGUGGUACGCGAGCUGGGUUUAGAACGUCGUGAGACAGUUCGGUCCCUAUCUGCCGUGGACGUUUGAGAUUUGAGAGGGGCUGCUCCUAGUACGAGAGGACCGGAGUGGACGAACCUCUGGUGUUCCGGUUGUCACGCCAGUGGCAUUGCCGGGUAGCUAUGUUCGGAAUAGAUAACCGCUGAAAGCAUCUAAGCGGGAAACUAGCCUCAAGAUGAGAUCUCACUGGGACCUUGAGUCCCCUGAAGGGCCGUCGAAGACUACGACGUUGAUAGGUUGGGUGUGUAAGCGCUGUGAGGCGUUGAGCUAACCAAUACUAAUUGCCCGUGAGGCUUGACCAUA